GGGCCAUGGCUCAGUGGGAGAACAUCCGCUUUGAGUGCAGAAGGCCCCAGUUUCAAUCGCUCGCAUCUCCC